GAGUUUGAUCCUGGCUCAGGAUGAACGCUGGCGGCGUGCUUAACACAUGCAAGUCGAACGGGAAUUACUUUAUUGAAACUUCGGUCGAUUUAAUUUAAUUCUAGUGGCGGACGGGUGAGUAACGCGUGGGUAACCUGCCUUAUACAGGGGGAUAACAGUCAGAAAUGGCUGCUAAUACCGCAUAAGCGCACAGAGCUGCAUGGCUCAGUGUGAAAAACUCCGGUGGUAUAAGAUGGACCCGCGUUGGAUUAGCUAGUUGGCAGGGCAGCGGCCUACCAAGGCGACGAUCCAUAGCCGGCCUGAGAGGGUGAACGGCCACAUUGGGACUGAGACACGGCCCAGACUCCUACGGGAGGCAGCAGUGGGGAAUAUUGCACAAUGGGGGAAACCCUGAUGCAGCGACGCCGCGUGAAGGAAGAAGUAUCUCGGUAUGUAAACUUCUAUCAGCAGGGAAGAUAAUGACGGUACCUGACUAAGAAGCCCCGGCUAACUACGUGCCAGCCGCCGCGGUAAUUC
rnacentral:rRNA from 1 species